rnacentral:lncRNA from 1 species
GUCCGUUUGACUUUUCCAAAAGUCAUAGUUCUAAAAUUACGAUGCUUUUUUUUUAAAUCAAAUGCUAUGAAAUUUGUUUCCAAGUAGUUGUUUUUGAUAAUGGAAUAAGUUUUAAAGCACUUUUAGAAUCAGAAGUAACUGUAUUUUAUUUCCUACAGUUUGCAAUAGUUUACAGUGUUUAGGUCAUACAUAUGCUGCAAGUAUAUUUUAGUGUGUAGGCACUGCGGUCAUUGUAUCCAGGAGAACAGGGUAAAGAUAGCAUUUUAAAAGUAAAUGGGAUGACUUAAAAUUAAUUUCCCCAAUUUUUUGUUUUGUUUACUUUUUUGUUCGUUUAUUUAUUUUGUGUUAGGUUUGGUAUUGAGGUUUGAACCUAGGGGCACUUUACCAUGAGUUACCUACCAAGUUCUUUUUCAUUUUAUUUUUGAGGCAGAUCUAGAGGCUGGCCUUGAACUUGGAACCCGCCUGCUUUAGCUUCCAGAUUAUAGGCCUGCACAAUCACGCAUACCUGUAUUGUUUUUAAAUAGAUAUUCUUUUCCCAGUUAUUUACAUUUUGCGAUUAGUGUAAAUUCUUAACUGUGGAAAUUAUAUGUUGUCCCAAUCACCAGAAUUCCUUAAGGGGUAAAUUGAGUAUCUUUUAUACAUUUGUUAUCAUAGGCAGCAUAAAACAAUGAGGAUUUGCUAUUCCAUGAUGCUUAUAACUACGUAAAAUAUGCCACAAAACACUGAAUUCCCUUAAGAAUGGAAUUCUAUUGGAAAAAUUUGGGACAACGUGCAUCAAAAAGGGUAAGACACUAUUGAUAACAUGCAUAGAAUUUUUUUUUAAUGCCUAAGUUCUGAGCACUAAAAAUAAAGGAGGGGGAGGAUGAAACAUUUUCUUUGAAAGCAAUAUCAGAUUAUAAAUGUAGAACAAAUGAUAGAAAAAGAAUAAUUUUCUAAAUGAAUUACAGUUGGUAAUUUCAUCAAAGAAUAUUAAUUGGCAAAUUUCAUCAAAGAAUAUUAAAAGCCACUGGGUAAAGAUUCUACACUACAGAAAUCCAAGACAUGACAUGUUACAAAAUGGAAAACAUUUCUUUACCUUUAAAAAAAAAUCAUUGCCUUGAACAAAUGAUCAAAGAUCACAAAUAAUGAGGCAAUAUGAUGUCAUGUGCUUUUUGAUAUAGUGCAAUUAGGCAUACUCAUCAUUUAAGAAAUUUUCUUGCCAAAAUUAUUUAAGCUAAUUUCAAGCAAGCUUCAUGACUGUGGUUCUCACCAGGGCAACCUGAAGGGCAUGGAUGUUGUUAACUGCAUCUGAUGGGUAGAGGCCGGGGAUACUGCUAAUCAAGCUGCAGUGAAUAGGAUAAUUCUGCAUCCCCAAUAUAUAAUUAUCUAGCACAAAAUGUCAAUAGUGCCAAGGUGGAAAAACCCAGGUCUAGAUGGAAACACAUUUAAAAGUCAUAGGGGAUCAGAAAAAUGAGAAAUUAUACCCCAUUUGAUUCAAAUAAAAAAAAUAAAAGUCAUAGGGGAUUAUCAGAACACAUUAGACCUGAAGACACAGGCAGAUACAUCCAGACUGUGGCAUAUUCUACAGGAAAUGUAACCUAGAACACUAAAAUGUCUUAGAAAUUUCUUUGAGAUUAAAAAGAUGCAGGAGAAAUGAAAACAGUCCUACAUAUAAAAAAAACAGACGAAUGAAAGCAACUAUUUGUGACCCAUUACAGACACUUGAAUAUGGUCUAAAAACUGGAUAGUAUAAUGGAAUUAUGGUGUGAUGAUGGUAUGACUAUUCGGUAUAAUAAUAGUAUUAUUCUUGAUCUUGGGAAUUUUAUACCAAAGUAAAUCUAUAUAAAUAUGUACAUACAGAUAUGUAUAGAUAGGAAUGAGGAAAAGAAAUAUGUGACAAAAAUACUAAAAGUGAAUUAAUCAAUUGGAGGGUCCUAGUGCUUGUUAAUAUAUUAAAUUUUUGUCUUUUUUUUUUUUUUUCCUUUUGUAUUGGGUAUUGAACCUGGAGCACUUAACCACUGGGCCACACCCCCAGCCCUUUUCAUAUUUUAUUUUGAGACAGGAUCUCACCAAGUUACUUAGUUAACUUGCUAAGUUGCUGAGGCUUUAUCUGAACUUGCUAUCCUCCUGACUAAGCUUUCUAAGCCAUUGGAAUUAAAGGUGUGCACCACUGUGCCCAACAGCUUGUUAAAUUUUUUUGACUUUUCAAUGAGGUUUGAAACAUUUCAAAAUAAAAAGGAAAAAUAUGAGUUAUGCUAAUUUUUUCACAUCAAAAUUUUUACGUUUAAAUAUUCUAUAUAGAUAAGUUAAUGCCAUGGAAAAUGGUAAUAACAAACUAGAUGAGAAUAUGGAUUCUCAUCUUUAAUUAGAUAAAUCAUUCAUUUACAGAAAGUAUAAAGUCUGGGCUGGAGAUGUGGCUCAAGCGGUAGCGCGCUUGCCUGGCAUGCGUGCGGCCCGGGUUCGAUCCUCAGCACCACAUACAAACAAAGAUGUUAUGUCUGCAGAGAACUAAAAAAUAAAUA